UGCAGGGAUCAUCCAGACUGGAAGCCAUCCUCCACGUAAGCCCAGCCGAAUUGCUGCAGUGUAUCUGAUUCCUUCAAACUGUCAAGACAGCUAAGCCUUUGCAGAGGCCCCUUCUUUGUACUUCCAACUGUGUGUAACCUGAUGGCCAAAGGCACAGCAUCGGUCGUCCCUGAUGACUUUUAUUCCACUGUAGGUGCCCCAGUCGCGUGGUGCAAUGCCUGUGUCCCGCAAGGACCACAGAGCCUCGUGGCACGUUUUGGGCGUGAGUAUGCUUGUUAUGCAGACAGUUGAUCUGAGGCAGCGAGAACUUGUUCAAAAGGAACCAAAACCAAUAAGAAAAGGAAAUGGGGGAAAAUGGAGAAUACAAAUGUGUCACUGGGACCCUGAGAGGAAACGUUUAUAAAGAACAUAAACGGUGUCACCAAGGUGCCAGCUAUUUAGGAGAAAUAAAAUGGAAGAGUGCUGAUGUGCUCAGGGUGUUCAUAAAGGAAUAAAAGCUGACUGGCGAUAUUUGGUAAAAAGCAGAUCGCUUCUUGAAAAGGCAACAGAAGUCUGUUCAAGAGAGUAUCACCAAAUGGCACUGAGCUUGAUAAUCCAAAGCAAAGGAAGGCAAACUCUCUGCCAACGUUUCCCAGCUUGUUGUAACAGUGGGCUUCCAGAUUCUUGCAUCAGAAACAAGAGACUUGAAGAUGGAUUCAGGGACUAUUGAGACGUGGCCCUAUUUUACCUAGUCUCAGGUAUGGGGAAAUACAGAAGUAUGCUGCUGCAUGGGUAAAGGGGACCUGCUGUGGUCUGGCCUCACCCCAAACCUGUGUGCGGCUGUGGGCUCUACCACACGGAAAGGCCGUGAAGGAACCUGAAAGCGACUGGAGGAAGAGCUGGAGGAAGGGAGGGCUGAGGUGUGUACUGCAAGGGAAGGCUGGGGCAGAGCAGGCCGAGAGGUGGCCGGGCUGUGCCCUGCAGCUCCCUGAGGAGGGGAAGGGAGCGGGAGACGCCAGGGGGCUCAAGCCUGGCAUGGAGAAAUGUUUCUUCACCCCCAGGGUGGGCAAGCACUGGGACAGGCCUCUGGGAGGGCGCAGGUGCCCAAGGGGCACAGGCCAGUGCCCUCAUUUCCAGCGCAGAGUAAAGGCAAAACUGUUUUGCAGGAGGAGAACGGGGAAAUUGGAAAGAUUCUGCAGUACAGCAACCGGUCUCAUGCUGAUGUUUAAAGCACAGAAAAUAGCAAACCAAUUCAGAGCAGUGUUAACAUUUAAAAAGACUCAGAAUUACUGUACCUGAAUGCCUAUUUAAAAUUUCUGAGGUGUACAUACCGGAUUUGAAAGCAAGUAACCUUGAAAAGUUCAUAUUUCAUUCUCCUUAGUACUAUUACCUAAGUCAUUAAACAUAUUCACUUGCCUAUUUAUAUAUUAUAUUAAUUAUUUUCAAGAUUUAAGACCUCUGUGCUUUCUUAAAUUUCCCUGAUGUAUUUAAGGGGAAACAAAGGUUGGCAUUUUUGUUUGUUUGUCUCGUCUCUUUCUUGUGAAUUCUCAUCACUCUCGCAUUCAUUCAGUUGUUCAGUGAAUACCUCAUUAAUAUGAUUUCUAUCUCUGUAUAAAGGCACACGGCAAAAACACUAUUAUGUAACACUUUGAAAAGAGCUAUAAAUAGCCUACUUUAAUAACCAUGAAUUUACAUUAGAAAGGUAGAGAAACUCUGAAGUGAAAAACAUUUAUUUUUAUCUGAUGUUACUGUUUCAUAAUCUCAGUGUUAUCAGACACAUCCUGAAUAAUUUAGUAAGGUCUUGGGGUUUUAUACCAUCUGGGAAAGUCUUGCAUAUCAAAUGGGUUUGUACAACAGGAAAAGAGGUUUUGAAAGAACUACAUUUUUCUUUUGGGACUUGAUCAUGCUUACCUGGUACACAUUAAAAAACUACCAGUGACAUCCAUGGCAGAUUAGAGAAUGCAAAGAAUGGCAGGUUUGGCUCUUAGUUUACGUUUUUGUCCUUGUUGUUUUUCUAAACACAAGUGGUUCUUUCUGAAUAAUUUGAAAUAAAUCAACUUUACUGGAACUUAAAAUUUGCUUC
rnacentral:lncRNA from 1 species